AGGAUCGUUGUAACUCUGCGGAAUGGAACAUAGGAUUCCUAAUCCUGGGGCCGUGGGUUCGAAACCCGACGGACCUACCA
rnacentral:tRNA from 1 species